AAACCAACCGGGAUUGCCUUAGUAACGGCGAGUGAAGCGGCAAAAGCUCAAAUUUGAAAUCUGGCUCCUUUGCGGGGGUCCGAGUUGUAAUUUGAAGAAGCGACUUUGGGCCUGGCUCUUGUCUAUGUUCCUUGGAACAGGACGUCACAGAGGGUGAGAAUCCCGUGCGAUGAGAGACCCAGGUUCGUGUAAAGCGUUUUCGACGAGUCGAGUUGUUUGGGAAUGCAGCUCUAAGUGGGUGGUAAAUUCCAUCUAAAGCUAAAUAUUGGCGAGAGACCGAUAGCGAACAAGUACAGUGAUGGAAAGAUGAAAAGAACUUUGAAAAGAGAGUGAAAAAGUACGUGAAAUUGUUGAAAGGGAAGGGCUUGAGAUCAGACUUUGUUUUUCCAUGGCGCUCUUUCGGGGGUGUCCUCUGGGUCUACAGGGCCAGCAUGGGUUUUGCGGGCGAGACAAGGACCUAGGAAUGUGGCUCUGCUUCGGUGGAGUGUUAUAGCCUGGGGUACUGGUCGCCAUGCGGGACCGAGGACUGCGGUACUAGGAUGCUGGCAUAAU
rnacentral:rRNA from 1 species